CUCCCUCCCUACCAGCUUGGAUUGAAUACUGACGAACAUAUUCUGUACCCAAAUGCCAUCUUGCUGUGCCUAAUCCUUGACCAGUCGUCUCUCGAACACCCAGAUUCCGAACACCCCUCUCUCUCUCUCUCUCUCUCUCUCUCUCUCUCUCAAUUGACCAUUCUGAGGACCCACGAUCGAACCCCGCCACUUCCGGUAGGUAAUGAGGUGACAGGUGAUGACUACAGGUAAUAAUUAUGUAAGUUUACUGUUAAAGUCAAUGGGCUACUUCCGUGUGUUACUGUCUGUUCAUUUAGGGAAUAGUAGUAGUAGUAGUAGAAGCAGUAGUAAUAGUAGCACCAAGUACAGGUGAUAGUAUAAGUAGUAAUAGUAGUAAUAGCAGAUAUAGGUAACAGUAGUAGUAAUAGCAAAGAACAUUAUAGUUGCAUCAUGGAAACGGUAGAAGAUUUACACAUAUUUCAAGGUGAGGUGAGCCUCGAAAAAAUACUGUCAACACUAGUCAAGGAUUCCAGCAGCCUCAGCAGUGACGCCUGGUGGUGAAGUGAUCAACUAUACAUGUCACACACAGACACACCUGCCAUGGAGGCGUGACUGUACAGUAAGUUUAUUAUGGUUGAUUGCGUCCACUGUCGUCACCACCACCACCAUCACCUGUUCUCUUAGGUGUGUGAUGCCAUAGUAUUAAUUUGUUCACCAGUUAUAUAAUCAAGAAGGACUGUUUUGGAGUUAAUUGAUCGUGUUAUUUACUGUUCCCCAGGUGUUCAACAGUGUUAUAUAACUGAGAAGGUGUUUUUGUGGUGUUCAGCAGGUGUUCUACGGCUGUCUGUUGAUGUUCAUGGCGUUUGUGGUGUUCUUCGAGGGGCGAGAGGACAAUCUGAUCGAUCCUGUACACAGAAGUGCUCAAGUCGGCGGUCACUUCAGGUCACCCAAGAUAUGGGAUAGACUCGUACCUGAAGACCUGGCCAUAGUGGAGAAGGGGCCACCGACGGCCUCUCUUGGUGAUGAUACGAGUAGAACAGUCACUGGCACGACUGGGAGUGGCACUAGUGGACGGGACACUGGUGGAAGGGGUGAUCUAGAGCCAAACCACAAUGCCAGUGCCCCUCUCUUGAUCCACAAGAUGCCACCAGUGUUUUUUCACACAGAUGUGGGUCUUAAUCCUCGCAACCCACCCUUGAAGACCAUCUUAGUGUGGGCUGAGGGUUACGGCACCAAGACUAUGUCCUUUGGUUACGGACGAGCGCCCUUUGUGACCGCCCAGUGUGAGGUGGACACGUGUAUGAUGACGGCCAAUAGAUCCUUCGUCCCCCUACAAGAGUUCGACGCCCUCAUCUUCCACUUCCGGGCUGUAGAACGUGACAAGUUACCCCAAAGAAGGUCACCUCACCAGCGCUGGGUGUUCUGGGAGGUAGAGUCAGCCUCCUACAUCUACCAAGACCCCGGGUACUACAACAACAUGUUUAAUUGGACCAUGACAUACAGACGGAACUCUGACAUCCCCUACCCGUAUGGUCAGGUAACACCAAUCACGUCUCCAUCACCAACUACCAUUAAUCUCAAUACUAACUACGCCGCCGGGAAGACCAAGAUGGCUGCGUGGUUUGUCUCAAACUGUAUCUCUCACUCCAGGAGGGAGAAACUAGUCCGGUUUAUGCAGAAGUUUAUUAAGAUAGACGUGUAUGGCAAGUGUGGACCGCUCGAGUGCUCCAGAGACACGACCCAUCAGUGUUACCAGAUGUUAGAGCGAGACUACAAGUUCUACUUGUCCUUCGAGAACUCAUUGUGUAAAGACUAUGUCACUGAAAAACUCUUCAGUGUUCUUCAGUACAACGUGGUGCCGGUGGUGUUGGGACUCGGGGACUACGCCAGCAUCACGCCACCUCACUCUCACAUCAACGUCCUCGACUUCGAGAGCUUAGAUAGCCUCACCGACUACCUCAAGUAUCUCGACUCCAACGACACAGCUUAUAAUGAGUACUUUAGGUGGAAGGGUCACUACGUGGUGGAGAACGGAUGGUCUAACAAGGCCCGGAGGUUCUGUGACCUGUGUAAGAAACUUCACCAAGACAACACCGCCAAGACCUACACUAACAUGAGGAAGUGGUUUAUGGUGGCAGGUGGCUGCAAGAAACUCAACACAAGGGCCUGGCAGAAGAUGCUCGUGGGAUGACAACAAUACGACUGUUCUGUGAUAAGUGUCCCUGCGUCGGCUCCUUCUUCAGGAGCUGUGAUAAGUGUCCCUGCGUCGGCUCCUUCUUCAGGAGCUGUGAUAAGUGUCCCUGCGUCGGCUCCUUCUUCAGGAGCUUUUUAAGUGUCCCUGCGUCGGCUCCUC